AUGCUCCGUGCCGCUGCCUGGGGAGCCCCCGUCCCGCAGCGGAGUCCUCGCCUGCGAACCCCAGGUCUGCUCCGGUUCCUCCUCCUCACUAAGGCACAGGUGAUGGCUCCGGGAGUCGGGUCCCUGCUGCCCAUGGGGGAGACCCAGACCGAAUCCCUGGCCCAGGCCUGGCAUCUGGGGAGCGAAGCAGCGGACGGAAGACGUCUCCGUCUCUGUCUUUCAGAGAAAGCAAAUCAACAAGACCAGCGAGCACCUCCUGUCCAGACGAGGGCUGGGCGCACUCGUGUGUUUGUCCUCAGGAGGCCUGCUUCUCUCCAGAUGACCGGUGAGAGGACUUCAAACGGCCUGUGGCACACAGGGGACUGCCGGCCACGCCCACCUCGGGCGCCUGUCUCCACUGCCAGUGUCCUGGACUCCAGCCUGCAGGAGGGGCUGGGCGCCCAGCCUUCUUCAUGGACAUGGUGGCUGCAGGACACGCCCGGGGGGAAGUCACUGCCUAGACUGAGCUCCACCCCCUCAGAGAAUCAGCACCUGUCAGAUGCAGGGCACCAGCAGAGCCCACCCCCCGCUCAGGCCAACGCGCUCCCCUCCAUGCUUCCCCCCAAAGCUUCCCUCUGGCUGCCCAGACCCAGACGGGCUUGGCUUCACCGAGGCAGGAUCCGAGCCGCGGCAGGAGGGCUGACGUCAUCCGGCUGCUGGUUCCGGCUCCCCCCGCGUCGUGGCCCACAGACCUGCCCCUGGUCACACUCUGUGGCUGAGGGCGGAGGUGGAGCUCUCCCGCAGUGACCGCUCUGCGUUCCUGUACCUCGGCGACGCUGACUUUGGGCCUCUGCCCAGAGGCACGACGGAGCGAUCCUGUGAGCUUGGCGCGGUGCGGUUUGCUGUGCAGGUGACCCACGCUGGGUCACGGCUCCAGCUCAGGCCUUGCUGGCCAGUGGCAGUCACCCCCCCAGUCUACUGCUUGGAGGCUGCCUGGGUUCCGAGCCGCUGUCGCCGUGACCUGGCCAGGUGGCUGGGCGGCUCAGGGAGGGGUUGUCUGCACUCACUGUGUGUGACACGGAACAAAGGUCCAGGAAGGAGGGGGCCCGCCCCAGCCCCCCAGCUGUUGGUGAGCGUGGGCACCGCUGUGUCCUGGCCAGGCCUGGUAAAUCGGCUGCUGAUGUCAGCUUCUGCAGGGGACUCCUGGGGGGCAGAGGGCAGUUGUGGCUGGGGCGUCUGGCUGAGCCCCCGGGUUAACAACUGGGUCCCCGAAGUCCCAUGUGAUGGGUUUGCGGACGGCGGGGCAGGCUCGACCCCAGCGGGGUGGGGGCUUCCAUGCUGGGGUUUGGGGCUGAGUUCGGCCCUGGUGUCCUCGCUGCACUGACUGCUGUCCACUGCCCCCCUCAGAUGCCAGACCGGGGCGGGGACUGUGAACCUCUAAAUCCGUGAGCGGAAACAAACCCGGGGCCAGGUGUGGUGAGUGCCACCUGAGCCCAGGUGUGUGGAGGGACGACUCCCAGGAAGCAGAGGUGCGCCUGUGUCGUGCCGUGCACACCGACGCUCAGGGACUUGUUGUCAGAAGUACUUGAGGUCAUUGCCUGGCAGGGCCCUGGGGGUGUGUGUGGUAAUUUGCAUAUGUAAAUUAGCACUGUACAUUACUUCACAUGAAUUUCAAGCCUCCUUGGCAUAGGACUGACGGUUUAGGAAUCCUAGCAGGGGUUCAGCAAAGGGGAACAAGCUGACAGUGACAGGGAGAUGACCCUGGGCCAUCUGGAUAAAUCUGGGGUGUGUUUGGUGCUGUGGAUUAAGUGGCUGCCUGGGUUCGAGUCCUGCCUCCACUUCCCAUCCAGCUUCCUGCUAACAGCACCCCGGGGGGCGGCGGACGACGGCUCGAGUGCUCAGGUCCCCGCUGUCCACCCGGGAGAUGCAGGAGGAGUUCUCGCUCCGGGCUUCAGCCUGGUCCAGCGUUGGCUUUUGUGGGCAUUUGGGGAGUGACUCAGUGGGUGGAAGACCUCUGCCUGUCCCUCUACAUAGCUUGAAGCAUUCUGCUGCGGGCACCAUUGCCACUCACUUUACAGUGGGGCUGGGAGGGGGCGGGCACCCUUGGCCUCGGGGCCCAGGGCCGGGCCCAGGGGGCACCCCGUCCACCCCAGCCAUGAACAGCACGCUGGAACGUCAGGACGUCCCCUGGGGGCUGCCCUCCCCCGUCCGUCCCACCUGCGGCCAGGAUGGGCAGGGGCCGGGGGGGUGCGACGCUCGCUCUCACUCUCGCCGCUUCCUGGCAGAAACAAACAGGGCUGCGCGCAGCGAGCAGCGGGCGCCUGCCCUGCAUUAAUCAGGCCCUAAUGUAGCUGCCAGGGCGCCCACGCCGCACUGCUCGCGAGGCAAUUAACUCGAAAAUGGAAUUGAUGUGCAUUGAUUUUUUUAAUAAAGUUAUUGUAAUAUAUUCA
rnacentral:lncRNA from 1 species